rnacentral:lncRNA from 1 species
CUUUAAUUUAAAUCAGGACCAGGCUAAUUCUACUUAAAUAAAUCCAAAUUUUAAAAAUGGCUUUAUGAGACUUUGCUUAACUUCAGAUUAAUUAAUUAUAGACUAGGGAGUCCCAGACUAGGGUAAUUAAGGACUAACCAGUUAAUCUUUGAAGCCUGAUUAGAUUAACAAUGUGCCCCUGGUGCUGACCUGAGGAUGCUUCAAAAACCAGGGAUGGGACACUAAUACAUACGCAUUAUGUGGAAUUGGAGCAAGUCACCUAAACAAAACAAUGGAUGGAGGUAAAAGAAAAUGUUCAAAGAAUUUCAAUGACUUAGAAGAAAAAUUUGCUUCAAAAGGUUAACGAGGACAAACAGCAUGAUUCAUCAACAGAAAACAAGAAAAAGAAUGCCUGGACUACCAUUUGUAAUGAAUUCAACUCAAAUGAAAAAAGUUGAACAAAAAGGAUGCUACAACAACUUCAGGUCCUGUGGAAAAACAUACAAAUCUACUUAACAGUCUUGAUAGGCUCCCCACGAGCCUAUCAAGACUGUUAAGGCCAGCGACCGAGAAAAAAAAAGAAAAAAAAGCUGGGGGACUUGUUGACUGGGAUCAUUGAUAGCCAGCAACCCCUCGAAGGUAUCCCCGAUAAUGACCAUUUGGACAGUUAAGAUGGGGCACCGUUCCAAUCCUUAUUUGAUCACCGUAGCUUGGAGGGGACUUGUCUUAACAGGAAGGUCAGCUCGUUACAUCUGCAGCAGCCAGGAGGGAAGAUUGUGUCGCUAAUCCGGGCCGGAGGACAAAGAGGCUGCGCAUGCAUGAGAAACUGCCCAUGGAAUUUCAUGAGCGAAAACUAAUGUAUUUAAAAGGGCAUGAUAUGAAGAUGCAAAUCCUACAUGUUGAGUUGGCUAUGAAGGAGAAGGAAAGAAACAUGAAGCAGCAGCAGUUGAGGGU